rnacentral:rRNA from 1 species
UACGUAGGGUGCGAGCGUUUGUCCGGAAUUAUUGGGCGUAAAGGGCUCGUAGGCGGUUUGUCGCGUCGGGAGUGAAAACCUCGGGCUUAACUCGGGGCUUGCUUUCGAUACGGGCAGACUAGAGGUAUGCAGGGGAGAACGGAAUUCCUGGUGUAGCGGUGAAAUGCGCAGAUAUCAGGAGGAACACCGGUGGCGAAGGCGGGUCUCUGGGCCGAUACUGACGCUGAGGAGCGAAAGCGUGGGGAGCGAACAGG